rnacentral:tRNA from 1 species
GUGGUGGCUUAGUGGUUAAGAGCACUGACUCAGGGGACCUGGGUUCAACUCCCAGCACCCACA